rnacentral:rRNA from 1 species
UACGGAGGAUCCAAGCGUUAUCCGGAAUCAUUGGGUUUAACGGGUCCGUAGGCGGUUUGAUAAGUCCGUGGUGAAAGCCCAUCGCUCAACGAUGGAACGGCCAUUGAUACUGUCAGACUUGAAUUGUUGGGAAGUAACUAGAAUAUGUAGUGUAGCGGUGAAAUGCUUAGAUAUUACAUGGAAUACCAAUUGCGAAGGCAGGUUACUAGCAACACAUUGACGCUGAUGGACGAAAGCGUGGGGAGCGAACAGG